ACGUAGGGUGCAAGCGUUAAUCGGAAUUACUGGGCGUAAAGCGUGCGCAGGCGGUUGUGUAAGACAGGUGUGAAAUCCCCGGGCUUAACCUGGGAACUGCGCUUGUGACUGCACAGCUAGAGUACGGCAGAGGGGGGUGGAAUUCCACGUGUAGCAGUGAAAUGCGUAGAUAUCGGAAGGAACACCAGUGGCGAAAGCGGCUUCCUGGUCCAGCACCGACGUUCAGGCACGAAAGCGUGGGGAGCAAACAGGA
rnacentral:rRNA from 1 species